GUUCAACGCCGUUGGCGAAGCCAGCUGCUGGAGGUGCCGAGAAUCUGAGUUUCGGCAAGCAGCCAGGUCUGGAAACUAAUAUUUUAAAAAUGACUACACCAAACAAGACACCUCCUGGUGCUGACCCCAAGCAGUUGGAAAGGACUGGAACAGUACGGGAAAUUGGGUCACAAGCUGUUUGGUCACUCUCAUCUUGCAAACCAGGAUUUGGAGUGGAUCAGUUACGAGAUGACAAUCUAGAAACUUAUUGGCAAUCAGAUGGUUCCCAGCCUCAUUUAGUGAACAUCCAAUUCAGAAGAAAAACAACAGUGAAGACAUUAUGUAUUUAUGCAGACUACAAAUCUGAUGAAAGCUAUACUCCAAGCAAGAUCUCAGUCAGAGUAGGAAAUAAUUUUCACAACCUUCAAGAAAUUCGGGUGGCAGCGUUCCUCCCUCUGAAACUAAGACGUCUAGGCCAGCAGAACGUAAUGUCGUGGGAACAGGAAGCAAAAAUGUUGCCAGUGGAUCACCAGGGGUGAUGGUGGUACCAUUUUCACUUCCACCCCUUGAUUCCUGGAACUGUGAAUCCUGGCUAUGGGAGAAACUGUACCAUAUAUUGGACCCUGAUUCAGAGCAUACACAGCCUUCUGGAGAACUUUGCCCCAGUCCUGCAAAGUAUUGUCAUCUAGUUGGCAUUGUGAUUGUGACUUCAAAAGGCUAUUCCACCAUUCUGUCUAUCCAGCUGCUUCAGGAUGAUGGGGAAC
rnacentral:lncRNA from 1 species